ACUAACGCUGACGGUAUGCUUUAUACAUGCAAGUCGAACGGUAAGGCCCCGCAAGGGGUACACGAGUGGCGGACGGGUGAGUAACACGUAGGAAUCUGCCUCAAAGUGUGGGAUAACCGAGAGAAAUCUUGGCUAAUACCGCAUAUGUCGAAAGAUGAAAGGAGCAAUUCGCUUUGAGAGGAGCCUGCGUCUGAUUAGCUAGUUGGUGAGGUAACGGCCCACCAAGGCUACGAUCAGUAGCUGGUCUGAGAGGAUGACCAGCCACAAUGGGACUGAGAUACGGCCCAUACUCCUACGGGAGGCAGCAGUAGGGAAUUUUACGCAAUGGGCGAAAGCCUGACGUAGCAAUACCGUGUGAGGGAAGAAGCCCUGUGGGGUGUAAACCUCUGUCGGGAGGGACGAAAAAAAUGACGGUACCUCCAAAGGAAGCACCGGCUAACUCUGU
rnacentral:rRNA from 1 species